UUCAGAGGAAUUUGUCCUGUAAUUGAUGAUCCACGAUUUUAAUUACUUAAUUUAUUAAUUUACAUAUCGCCGUAAUUUGAAUAUUUUAUAAGAAUAUUAAUAUUCAAGACUUUAGAUAAGAAAUUAAAUCAGGUCAAGGUGUAGUUUAUAAUUAAGAAGAGAUGAAUUACAAUAAAAUUAUUUAUAUGGAUUAUUAUAUGAAAUUAUAAUAUGAAAGUGGAUUUAAAAGUAAUUUUAAAUAUUUAUUUAUAAUGAUUUUAGCUCUAAAGUAUGCACAUAUCGCCCGUCACUUUCACUAUAAAGUGGAAUAAGUCGUAACAGAGUAGAUGUACUGGAAAGUGUAUCUAGAAAGACAAGUUAGAGCUUGAUAAAAGCAUUUUAGUUACAUUAAAAAGUUUAUUGUGAAAUUCAAUAUAACUUGAAAUAAAAAAAUUAUUAAUAAUUUAGAUUUUUAUAAAUUUAUAAUAAGUAAAUUAUUGUUUUAGUAUUUUUAGGAGAAUAAAUUGAUUUAAUUAUAGAGAAUUAGUAAUGUGAAUGAAAUUUAUUAAUUAUUUUAAAGAAAAAUUUAAAAAACAUGUCUUUUUGUUUAUAAUUUAAAGUCUAACCUGCCCAAUGAAAAAUUUAAUGGCCGCAGUAUUUUAACUGUGCAAAGGUAGCAUAAUCAUUAGUUUUUUAAUUGAAAGCUUGUAUGAAUGGUUGAAUGAGAAAAUUACUGUCUCUAAUUUAUUUUUUUAGAAUUUUAUUUUUAAGUUAAAAAGCUUAAAUUUUAUUAAAAGACGAGAAGACCCUAUAGAGUUUUAUAAAUUUAAUAAUUAAAAUUAUUUGGUAUUUAUAAAAUAAUUUUUAAGUUUAUUUAAUUGGGGUGAUUAAAAAAUUUAAUAAACUUUUUUUUUAUUAAAACAUUUAUUUAUGAAUAUUUGAUCCUUAAUUAAAGAUUAAAAGAAAAAAUUACCUUAGGGAUAACAGCGUAAUUUUUUUUUAGAGUUCUAAUCGAAAAAAAAGGUUGCGACCUCGAUGUUGGAUUAAAAUUAAUUUUUGGUGUAGAAGCUAAAAGUGGGAGGUCUGUUCGACCUUUAAAAUUUUACUUGAUCUGAG
rnacentral:rRNA from 1 species